GAGGGGGUCCUAGCGGAGAGGAGAGGAGAGGAGAGGAGGCUGGAGGGGCCAAAAGCGCAUGUGGGCUGUGGUGGGGUUGGGGAUCCAAUCCGACUGAGAGCGCUGAGUGGGCGUGGGGGCAUCUGCUGUCAGUCUAGCUACAGAAAGGGCAGAUCUAAAGAACUCUCCCAGGGGAAAAAUGCCGUCAUGGCAGCUGUAGCUAAAUGUGCUCAAUAGGAACCGAAAAGGUAGCGGAUCCCUCCCAGAUGAACCGAAAGCAAGGGGUAUUUCUAGCCCUCAUUACUUCCUUCCACUUCACUCUUGCUUGGUGUGGCUCACGUUGGAGCACCGUCCUCACGGGUCGCGGGUUCGAUUCUGGUCAAGACACAAACCCAGGUUGUGGGUUCGAUUCCCAUCAGGCGUGUGAGGGAGGCAAAGGAUCAUCUAUGUUCUCUUUACACAUCACACCAAGGUUUCUCUCUCCCUCUCCCUUCCUCUCUAAAACAACAACUACAAACCACUGGUGGAAAACGUGGAAUGGACACAUUCUACCUGAGGAAUGCCCAACCAUUCGUAGUCCUUAUCGUCAGAAUCGCUGACUUGACUCUGCUCUGAAAUCCCAGGAGAGGAAAAUGAAUCUGCCUCCCGGAGAGGAAAGUGAAAAUGCAACGUCAGUUCUCAGUGUCUCCUGGGAAUGCAGGAGAGGUGAACACAGAAUCCUGCCAUCACCAUGAGAACAAGCCCACUGGAGGAUGAAAGGCCCCAUGGGGCAGAGCUGAGUCAUCACUGCUGAGGCCAUCCUUGACCAGACAGCCCUCAGGUGACUGCAGAGUGACGUCUCCAGGGCAAACCGAAGUCCCAUACUAUCCAGAAAGGAGUUGCCGGGGGAAUUUGUGGAGCAUUGGUCAGCUCUGGGCACUUCUAGUAGGUCACCUGUAUCUGUUCUUCAGCUAGACACAGUCCUCAAGAAUCCACAUGAAAGGCAUGCAUUGCGGUGGCUCCAAGCAGCUUGGGUGGUGGGAGAAGGAGCAGGGGCCAGGCAGCCCAGGCUCGCAAAGGCACCCAGCAAGCACCGGCCCAGCAGCCACCCUCCCCAAGAGGAUGGUCAGCACCACACCACUGAGGGGGUCGCGAAGAGAUCCAAGAGUUGUCAGCUAUACCUGCUCCUGCAAAAGUGGAAAUGAAGAAAGAAAAAAAAAAGGCAGCAGGAAAGGAUAAAUCUGCAGACAAAAAAAGUACAAAUGAAGGGAAUAGGGGAAAAACAGGCUGAAGUGGCUAGCCGAGAACUUAAAGAUCUACCUGCGGGAAAUGGAGAAACUAAAAAUGAGGAGAAUCUAGCUUCAGGCGAAGCAGAAGAGAAAGAAGCCAAGUCUGAUUAGUAUCAUAUUAAUCAUAUUAUAAGACAUAAAAUACCAUGUCUUAUCAGUGGUCCCUGUCUCCCUUCCUAAACAAUCCAGAGGAAUAUUUUUAUCAACUAUUUUGUAGUGUAAAUGCUUUUUUAAAAGAAGAAAUCAUUUGCUGAUUGUUUGUUUUUUGUGGGGUUUUUUGGGUUUUUGUUUUGUUUUGUUUUGUUUUGGUAUAACCAGAAAAUAGUGGGAUAUUGAAUAUGGGAGGCUUUGAUUAUCUUAACUUUCCAUAGGUGGGGGUCAUUGUUAUAUCCUAUAAUACAAAGCAUACUAAAUGGCAAUAUGGCAUCAGUUGUGCAUUUAAUGUCUUGAAAGUUUUAAAUUACAUCUAUUCCCAUGUUGUUGGUAGUAUUGUUUCCUAAAGAAAACCCCUCCUCCAUCUUGGCUCUCCCUGUCAGAAUUUUGUGCAUCUGUAACAUCUUGGGUGAGGCAGUCCUUUCCCUGGUAACUUUGUUAAUGUGCUGUGAAAGAUUGAAGAUUUCAUCAUGUAGCUUAUAUGACAUUACAUUGCAAAUUAGUGGGACUUUGAUGUUAUAGCACAUCAACAUUUGAAGAUCUAGACACUUGAUACUUCGUUAAGGAAAUUUAGCCUCCAUAUUUUAAGCUGAAAAUUCACCAGAAUAACUAUUGAGAAAAAAAUCACCACUACGUAACUUUAAGUUUUUGGUACGUAUGUUAAGAAUUGUGUACAAAUGGAAAUGUCUGUGUACUUAUCCUCAAAACAAUUGAUAAAAUGUCAAUUAUGAAAGAAAAAAA